rnacentral:rRNA from 1 species
CCUACGGGGGGCUGCAGUGGGGAAUUUUGGACAAUGGGGGCAACCCUGAUCCAGCCAUGCCGCGUGCGGGAAGAAGGCCUUCGGGUUGUAAACCGCUUGUGUCAGGGAAGAAAUCUUCCGAGCUAAUACCUUGGGAGGAUGACGGUACCUGAAGAAUAAGCACCGGCUAACUACGUGCCAGCAGCCGCGGUAAUACGUAGGGUGCAAGCGUUAAUCGGAAUUACUGGGCGUAGUUCUGGCGGAGCGGGUUGAACUCCCCGGGCUUAACCUGGGAACUGCACUUGUGACUGUACGGCUGGAGUACGGCAGAGGGUGAUGGAAUUCCGCGUGUAGCAGUGAAAUGCGUAGAUAUGCGGAGGAACACCGAUGGCGAAGGCAGUCCCCUGGGCCUGUACUGACGCUCAUGCACGAAAGCGUGGGGAGCAAACAGGAUUAGAUACCCCGGUAGUC